CCCGUUGUGGUCUAGUGGUUAGGAUUUGUGGCUCUCACCCGCAAUGCCCGGGUUCGGUUCCCGGCAACGGAA
rfam:Toxocara canis C1613357, whole genome shotgun sequence.